CACCAGAUUAUGAGACUACCGCUUUUAACUACUACACCACACAGGGCUAGAAUCCUUUGAGGAGGCAGCUGUGUAUUUCACCAAAGUGGAGUGAGAUCUCCUCGAUCCAGGCUAAAGAGCUGUUCAAGAAAGCCAUGCCAGAGAAUUGUGGGAAUAUGGCCACUCUGGGUGAUGAGCAAGACAGCGUGAAUUAUAGGAACCCAUCUGUGGUGUCACUAGAAACAACCCAAGCUGAAGCCGGAACAGAGAUAUUUGGAAAUCAAAUGGAACAAAAGAGGCUCAAGGGAAACCAUUCCAAGAAUGUGAACAUGCCCAGCGCUUCUCAGGAUGCUGGCAUCCACAAGCUUCUGGCUGCACAAGAUCAGAAAGGAAAGAGAAGUGAAAAUAUUCUAGUAGAG